rnacentral:rRNA from 1 species
UACGAAGGGGGCUAGCGUUGCUCGGAUUGACUGGGCGUAAAUGGCGCGUAGGCGGUUCGUACAGUCAGACGUGAAAUUCCUGGGCUCAACCUGGGGGCUGCGUUUGAUACGUGCGGACUUGAGUGCGGAAGAGGGUCGUGGAAUUCCCAGUGUAGAGGUGAAAUUCGUAGAUAUUGGGAAGAACACCGGUGGCGAAGGCGGCGACCUGGUCCGAUACUGACGCUGAGGCGCGAAAGCGUGGGGAGCAAACAGG